CAGUAGCCGCGGGAAUACGUAGGUGGCAAGCGUUGUCCGGAAUUAUUGGGCGUAAAGGGCUCGCAGGCGGUUUCUUAAGUCUGAUGUGAAAGCCCCCGGCUCAACCGGGGAGGGUCAUUGGAAACUGGGAAACUUGAGUGCAGAAGAGGAGAGUGGAAUUCCACGUGUAGCGGUGAAAUGCGUAGAGAUGUGAAGGAACACCAGUGGCGAAGGCGACUCUCUGGUCUGUAACUGACGCUGAGGAGCGAAAGCGUGGGGAGCGAACAGGAUUAGAUACCCCCGUAGUCCCUGUCUCUUAUAC
rnacentral:rRNA from 1 species